rnacentral:rRNA from 1 species
UACGACCUGGCGGCAUGCCUACACAUGCAGUCGAACGAGACCUUCGGGUCUAGUGGCGCACGGGUGCGUAACGCGUGGGAAUCUGCCCUUGGGUUCGGAAUAACAGUUGGAAACGACUGCUAAUACCGGAUGAUGACUUCGGUCCAAAGAUUUAUCGCCCAGGGAUGAGCCCGCGUAGGAUUAGCUUGUUGAUGAGGUAAAAGCUCACCAAGGCGACGAUCCUUAGCUGGUCUGAGAGGAUGAUCAGCCACACUGGGACUGAGACACGGCCCAGACUCCUACGGGAGGCAGCAGUGGGGAAUAUUGGACAAUGGGCGAAAGCCUGAUCCAGCAAUGCCGCGUGAGUGAUGAAGGCCUUAGGGUUGUAAAGCUCUUUUACCCGGGAUGAUAAUGACAGUACCGGGAGAAUAAGCCCCGGCUAACUCCGUGCCAGCAGCCGCGGUAAU